rnacentral:rRNA from 1 species
UACGAAGGUGGCAAGCGUUGUUCGGAUUUACUGGGCGUACAGGGAGCGUAGGCGGUUGGGUAAGCCCUUCGGGAAAUCUCCGGGCCUAACCCGGAAAGUGCGGAGGGGACUGCUCGGCUAGAGGAUGGGAGAGGAGCGCGGAAUUCCCGGUGUAGCGGUGAAAUGCGUAGAGAUCGGGAGGAAGGCCGGUGGCGAAGGCGGCGCUCUGGAACAUUUCUGACGCUGAGGCUCGAAAGCGUGGGGAGCAAACAGG